AUUGAACGCUGGCGGAAUGCUUUACACAUGCAAGUCGAACGGCAGCACGGUAGCUUGCUCAUGUGGCGAGUGGCGAACGGGUGAGUAACAUUUCGGAACGUAUCCAAUAAUGGGGGGUAACUAAGCGAAAGCUUGGCUAAUGCCGCACACGCCCGGAGGGGGAAAGCUAGGUAUCUUCGGACCUGGCGUUAAGGGAGCGGCCGAUAUCUGAUUAGCUAGUUGGUGAGGUAAAGGCUCACCAAGGCGACGAUCAGUAGCUGGUCUGAGAGGACCACCAGCCACACUGGAACUGAGACACGGUCCAGACUCCUACGGGAGGCAGCAGUGGGGAAUUUUGGACGAUGGGCGCAAGCCUGAUCCAGCCAUUCCGCGUGAGUGAAGAAGGCCUUCGGGUUGUAAAGCUCUUUCGCAAGGGAAGAAAGAUUACGCUCUAACAUCGCGUGAUUAUGACGGUACCUUGAUAAGAAGCACCGGCUAACUACGUGCCAGCCGCCGCAGUAACAC
rnacentral:rRNA from 1 species